rnacentral:rRNA from 1 species
UACGGAGGAUGCAAGCGUUAUCCGGAUUGAUUGGGCGUAAAGCGUCUGUAGGUGGUUACGCUAGUCGGCUGUUAAAGAUCAGGGCUGAACCCUGAGCAAGCAGUCGAAACUGCGUGGCUGGAGUACGGUAGGGGCAGGGGGAAUUUCCGGUGGAGCGGUGAAAUGCGUAGAGAUCGGAAAGAACACCAACGGCGAAAGCACUCUGCUGGGCCGACACUGACACUGAGAGGCGAAAGCUAGGGGAGCGAAUGGG